UCAGUACAGUAUAUUUGCAAACAUAUUUUAUGUCUUUACAGACAUGUAAGACUGCUGAAAAAAGGUUGGAGAACAGUGGCUCUUGGAGAUGCACAGUAAUCAUCCCGCUAAAGCAGAACUACACUGUCAUCGUAUUAAAGGGGGCUGCAGGAAGCAGCAUACAGAGGAAAUGCCUUGGGCGGGAUGGUAGCCCGGAUCAGGGCUCACAUACUGGCUCACAUGUGGGCAAUGAAGAAGUAGCACUUCACGUGUACGGGAGAAAAAC